UACGAGGGGGGCAAGCGUUGUUCGGAAUUAUUGGGCGUAAAGGGCGCGUAGGCGGUGCGGUAAGUCACCUGUGAAAACUCUGGGCUCAACUCAGAGCCUGCAGGCGAAACUGCCGUGCUUGAGUGUGGGAGAGGUGCGUGGAAUUCCCGGUGUAGCGGUGAAAUGCGUAGAUAUCGGGAGGAACGCCUGUGGCGAAAGCGGCGCACUGGACCACAACUGACGCUGAGGCGCGAAAGCUAGGGGAGCAAACAGG
rnacentral:rRNA from 1 species